GUGUGGGGGUUCAGUUUGCUAGCGCUAACUUAGCUAAAGUUAGCUCACCUAAGUUAUAGCAGCACAUUAAGGAUGGAUAUUAAAUGCAGAAACUUAUGCAACAGUUAAGUAGUUUGUGUUUAACGUAAGAGAAAGUAUAACUUAAAGUUUGUGUUUUAGAGAUUUAGUCCAUAAGUUUUUUAAUGCUGCAUAGUGAAUAAAUUACAGAUUUACAAUUUAUUUUAACUUAAAUUACAUUUACUACUGAUGUUUACAGAACCAUUUAAACUGUAUGCACCUCAUUCUAAAAUGCAUUUUCUUGGUCUUCAGAUACCAAAGUGAUUUUGUUACCUGUGGAUCUUCAAACUUCACAUCCAGAGUUGUGAGGAAUCAGAGGUGCAUGCGGCUGCCCACGGGAAAAAUUUGCCAUCAGCCCAACACAGUUUGGAUUAUCAUAGGACUGUCAGAGGUUUGCCAAACCUGUCAAAUGCAUGAUGGCUCCUGUUUGGACUUACCGAUGUCCUCGACUUCAAGUAUCCAUCAAAACUGUAUACAUUUGAGAUAUAUUAGAGACUCUUUGUGGGACUGGACAUUAUGCAUCCUAAAUCUUCAUCAAAAUAUGCAAAUCUCCUCACUGAGUUGCCUUGGAUGAUUUCUCAAUAGGAUCUGGUAUUAUUAAUGUUUUUAUUUAUGUAUUGUGUAUGUGUAGCCACAUUAAUGGCCUAUUUUGUAGUCACUAUUAAAAGGAACAUCGAUUGAUAUUGAAUACAUGUUAUGGUCUUUAAUCCAUC
rnacentral:lncRNA from 1 species